AACUAGGAACUAUGUGACCCAAAGCUCAGAAGCUAAGUCAUACCAAUCGUCUCCCCAGUACUGGGGAACUGGGUUUCUGAAUUAAUCCCUUUAUGCCAGUCUUGCUUAGCUCCUGUAUAAAAUUCUGGAAGAGAGCAAAGACAGCCUCUGAACAUACAGACAAAAGGAAUUAGUGUGCCAGUGAAUUCUUGUUUUGGGGCCUUAACCUAUAUAGCUUUUUACUGAUAUCCUGCAAGACAUGAGUUCCAUGCACAAGGCUUCACAAGGUUCUCAAGAAGAGCCAGACCCACAACUUCAACAGAUUUCUCAGAGCCCUGAAUCAAAUCUCCUGCCUUAAAACUGUUUUCUGCAAAAGGCUAUUAAAUUUUUCCAAUCAGGAAACUCUCAAAGGCUAUCUUCUCACAACUGAGCCAUUGCAUUUGCAGAGCAAACAGCUUUCCACACUUUAAAUUCACAGAUCAUCUGCCUAUUGUCAAAUCUGGAUUUUUCCUUGAGCAUUCUGGAACUGAAGGCAAAGCAUUUUCUCACAACAGGGAAACAACUUUUUUUUAUGCGUUUCCAUUCUGGGAUUUCUAUUAUCUACUGCCUUGUGCUGGGUGUACCUCAGUGAACAGGCCCAAAAGAGAAGGAGAGAGCUGAAGUUCCUAUUGAACUAAGGUUUGAGGCCCAAGAAAACCAUCAUUUGAAUCAAAGCAUUUCAGAAGGUAGUUUACAAGUCUACUUCCCAAGAAGAAACCAGGAUGCAGUGUUAUCACCUUCAUGAAAUUAAAGGAGGUGGUUUUACGAUUUAGUGGAGAGAAGCCAUGCUGUUAAUUAGUCACAUUUAUUUGACAAAAAAAGUGGGGGAGGGUGAAAAGGGGAAAGGAAGUUGGGAAAGAAAAACAGAACAGAAGGGAAAAAAUCUUUAUGAUGAGGUGCUUGGCAGGAUGAAGGAACAAAAGGAAGGUUUUCUGCCUGUCUCCUGAUAUUUUCCAACU